ACUUCUGACAGCCGUGCAUAGAUCAACACAUCCUCGGCACCGUUCUCUUUGCCGCUGCAAAACAGGAGCCAGUGGUGAGGCGCCAGCCGGCCGGCAUCACCUUCACCUUUCCCACUCCGCCUCAAAUCUGUUAGCAAUGCCUGACCUCCGCCCACCCUUGUAUCCCCUCUCCUCUGCAACGGCUCGCUCUCUCCUCGAUCUCAACCAAUACAUCAGCCUGAAGCUUAACACCUAAUAAUAAGAUUUCAGAAUAACCAAUAAUUUUUACAAAGAAACCUGUAGCUGCAGCAAGAGGUUUAUGAGUAAAUUAACAUGUAGUUAAAUGAGCUGAAGCACACAAAAAUAAUAGUUUGAGGUGAGUACAUCUACCUAGUUGCUGAUAGAUCAUUAAAUUCUCAGAUAUGUCAGUACAAUACUUUCAGAUAUGUCAGUACAAUAAUCUUAAUCCCCAUCAACAACAUAUCAGAUAGAUUUACAUCCUCGAACCUGCACCAAUCCAGAAGUUAAAUGAAAAUCUAUAUUGGCCUAUAACACAUGAAUAUUCCAAUGUUAGUCCUAUCUGAAGCCAUCUUCAGUUGAACAGAGAACCACAAACGUGAGAGAGAGAAAAUGAGUGCGGGAGAGAGAGAUGGUUGGGGGCUCACAUACAAUCCUGCAGCCGUGAAGACACCUGAAGGACGGCGCUAGGGUCUGCCGCGGCCCAGACACGAAGGACGGCGUCGAGCCGAGCCGACUACCUGGCUGGCAUCUGCUCCUCUCUGGUUGAGCCCCUCCUCCCGGGAUUCUCGAGACGAGGUCUCUCCUCCUCACGUGGCUUCCUCGCGGCCUGAGCAGAUGAGAAUCUCGGGCAGCAAGGGACGGAGGAUGAACUGGGGAGAUGAUGUAGGGUGCAACCCUAUAUAGUCGAUCUUUCACGAAAGGAGCGGAUCCCAAUUAAGAACACGAAGAACACGAGGAGAAACACAAGGGGAAGACACGAGAUAAUCACUCAAAUCAACAAGAACAAUUACACAUGUGCUAGAUUCUGAAAACACAAAGAGAUACACGAUCCAAAUCCAACAAGGGACGAUACAUAGGUAACCGGUUCUUCUCCGAAAGGAGGUCUUGAGGGGGCCACCCAAGAGGGGGUCUUGAAUCCAACGUGGAUCGUCUCCGAAGAG
rnacentral:lncRNA from 1 species